rnacentral:SRP_RNA from 22 species
GACUCGGACCCAUGCGGCCGCGACGCCUAAAUCUGGUCAGGACCGGAAGGGAGCAGCCACACGGGAUGCUCGUGACAGGCGUGGACUCCGGGUCACC